rnacentral:tRNA from 1 species
AAUAAGAUGCCUGAAAACCCUAAGGACUAUUUUGAUAGAAUAGAAUAUGUAUUAUUUAAUACUCUUAUUA